UUAACUGACAAACUCAUUUUUCUACUGGAACAGGAUGCUGUGCUGGCUGAAGUUCCAUUUCUACAGCAAGGAUCCUAUCUGGAAGCACAGAAGUUGUCCUCUAGCCACAGCAGCUCCAACUUUUUUGAUUGUUGUUGCUGCUUUCUCCUAUCACCCCCUUCCCCUUUUGACAAAGAUCCAACUGUAGAAAGUCUUACGUAACAGUUCAGGACUACUUCGGUUCUUUUACCGGUGAAAUAAAGCUGUGAUAAUGUGGUAAUAUGGAGAGACACCAAGCUGUGGACUCUUACGGACUUCAGCCAGCACUGAAAUGCAACACUGUGGGUUUUGGCAGCUGCGUUAUGUACUCUGAAAUUCUUAUAUCAUUACUCUGGCAAACGAGAAGAAUUUGCUUGUUUGAUUUAGCUCUGCGGUUAAGGUUCAAAUCUGAGACAGGUAAAGGAGGAAGCAGGAUAACCAACCAAUACUGGGACAAUGAACUCUGGUGUUUGAGUUCUGGCUAUGGAACUCUGGGUAAGUCUCUG
rnacentral:lncRNA from 1 species